rnacentral:rRNA from 1 species
GAUGAACGCUGGCGGCGUGCCUAAUACAUGCAAGUCGAGCGAACGGACGAGAAGCUUGCUUCUCUGAUGUUAGCGGCGGACGGGUGAGUAACACGUGGAUAACCUACCUAUAAGACUUGGAUAACUUCGGGAAACCGGAGCUAAUACCGGCUGAUAUUUUGAACCACAUGGUUCAAGAGUGAAAGACGGUCUUGCUGUCACUUAUACAUGGAUCCGAGCUGCAUUAGCUAGUAGGUAAGGUAACGGCUUACCAAGGCAACGAUGGAUAGCCGACCUGAGAGGGUGAUCGGCCACACUGGAACUGAGAAACGGUCCAGACUCCUACGGGAGGCAGCAGUAGGGAAUCUUCCGCAAUGGGCGAAAGCCUGACGGAGCAAAGCCGCGUGAGUGAUGAAGGUGUGCGGAUCGUAAAACUCUGUUAUUAGGGAAGAACAUAUGUGUAAGUAACUGUGCACAUAUUGACGGUACCUAAUCAGAAAGCCACGGCUAACUACGUG